rnacentral:misc_RNA from 1 species
GAUGAAGAACGCAGCGAAGUGCGAUAAGUAGUGUGAAUUGCAGAAUUCAGUGAAUCAUCGAAUCUUUGAACGCACAUUGCGCCCCUUGGUAUCCCGAGGGGCAUGCCUGUUCGAGCGUCAUUUCACCACUCAAGCCUGGCUUGGUGUUGGGCGACGUCCUCUUUGGGGACGCGCCUCGAAACGCUCGGCGGCGUGGCACCGGCUUUAAGCGUAGCAGAAUCUUUCGCUUUGGAAGUCGGGGCCCCGUCUGCCGGAAGACCUGCUCGCAAGGUUGACCUCGGAUCAGGCAGGGAUACCCGCUGAACUUAAGCAUAUCAAUAAGCGGAGGA